AAAUGUCCUUAUAAAAUUCAGAUUAUAAAGUUUGUUAGAAAAAACACCAGACAGUCUCGCUUUGGAACCGCGGUUACAUAACCGCUAACAUCCACACAUCCUCGCAGCCGUAGAGCCCGUUUGGGAACCAGCCGCAUCAACCCCAACGCUGGAAAUGGGAACGCUGCCACUUCCUUUUGUGUGAACAGGGAAGCUUAAGCAAAGCAGGCAGAGGAGUAAACCAGAGGGCAGCUCUAAGUGUAAAGCAGCAGUCCCUCCCAGUCCCAGACAGGACUGUCAAAGAGAAAACUGCAGCUUCUGAGCUAGACGGGACAGCAAAAGGAAGAACUCAAGAGCAAAGGGGAACUGCCCCUGGGAACACACUGUAGCAUGCUCACACGGUCUCCACCCUGUCCUCCUCCUCUUCUGUUGGCUCAGGAACUUCUGACACUCAGUGUGGGCUUGACUAAUUGUGGGAAAACUGCUGAGACUCUCACAGCAGGAUGGAUGCCAGAGAGGAGACAGUGGGUCUCCUGAACAAUGUCCUGUUCAAGCUUCAAAGUCUGCCCAGUGCCCACCCUCUGGAGCUGGGAGGCUUCUUCAUCCUCCUAAUCUUCAUCUUUAUGGUGAUUUUCAUGAUGGUGCUCACCUGCGUGAGCCACUGCUGCUGCUGCUGUAAGUCCAAACAAGACGAGCUCGACGUCUAAGGGAACAUUUUCACUUUCCGACAGGUUUUUCCUGCCGAUCUGCUCACCACAGUGCUUAGAAAUCCUGCCUGGGUUUCAGACAUAAGCUGCACAACGUGUGCACAGGAAAGGAGACGGUGCCACAGCACAACAAAACAAACUCUUGGAUUGCGUUCUAGACUAACAAAGCACACCGGUUAAUGCUGCCAGGCCUUCAGGAGAAGCAGCAUUCCUUUGGAGCAUCCCUCCCUGCGGAGCAACAACAGCUCAUCUAUCAUGAGGAGAAGGCAGGGCCGGAAACAACUGACUUAUAAACAAAUACGCAGCACCGAACAGGCUUACAGGUCUUUAAAAAACAACAAGCUGCUCAGUGUCAGAUGAGCGGAAAGCCAUAUGUUUGAGAAUGAUGACCUUGUAUCAUACCUCUGUGAGGAAUAUUAGAAUGGAAAGUUGAUGUUUUAAUUUUAUAAGCAAGUAAAUAAUUGCAUGUUGGGAUACACCAUUAGGAAAAUAGGUUUAAAUUUUUUUUUGUUGUUGUUUUCAGGAUUUAAAUUAAAAUAGAAUCAUUUCAAUGUUUGAAUUGAGAAACGUAAAAAAGUGAGAGAGAGGAAAGAAGGCAGCACAACACAGGAACACAGCUGAAAGCUGUUUAAGGAUCAGAUAGCAAAGUCUCUCGUUCCAAUUAUAGCUCAUAAAGUAAAGAUUUAUGUGGAGAUUUGUCCAGUGAGGAAGAGGAAACCAGGAGAAAUGUCUUCUGAAAGCGACAGAUUAGAGCACAAACAAAACACUCUAUUGAGGAAUUUAUAAGAUCUGUGGUGAGGAAACAUUUUUGACAAAAAAAAGUUACACAAUUAAACCUAAACACUGCUGAACUCAUUUUGUACUAGAACUAUCACGGAUAUGACAUCUGCUACUCUCAAUAAUCAGUGGUUUAAAAAAUAACGGCUGUAAAUUUAACUGUACUUCAUAUUUCUGAGACUUUUAGGCGAUUUGCCUCUAAAAUAAAUUUGCCUUUAAAGUGUUCAUUGAAAGCAGGGAAUAGGAGGCCAAGUCUGCCCCCUGCUGUUCAGAAAUAGAAAAUUGGAUAUUCAAAGAAAGGAAUAAUGUUCAUAUCUGAAACUGUUAAAUGAGCUCAAGUAUACUGAUGUGAGAUUUUAACUGCAUCGUAAUGUAGUGAAGUGAUUUUUAUACAAUAAAAGUUUUUUCUAAAGGA